GGGUCAGUCGCUCAGUUGGUAGAGCAUUAGAUUGAAGCUCUACGUGUCGGCGGUUCGAUUCCGUCCUGACCCA
rnacentral:tRNA from 1 species